rnacentral:rRNA from 1 species
UACGUAGGGGGCAAGCGUUGUCCGGAUUUAUUGGCGUAAAGCGCACGCAGGCGGUCUUGUAAGUUUCGAGUGACAGGUGGUGGCUUAACUGCCACAGGCCUUGGAAAACUGCAAGACUUGAGGACUGGAGAGGGACGCGGAAUUCCAGGUGGAGCGGUGAAAUGCGUAGAGAUCUGGAAGAACACCAAAGGCGAAGGCGGAUCUCUGGGCCAUUACUGACGCUGAGGAGCGAAAGCGUGGGGAGCGAACAGG